UACCGCCUGGGACUUAGCAUAUCUAUAUUCUGUAGGAAAAAGAAAAUCAACAGGGAUUGCCUCAGUAACGGCGAGUGAAGCGGCAACAGCUCAAAUUUGAAAUCUGGCUCACGCCCGAGUUGUAAUUUGUAGAGGAUGCUUCGGGUGAAGCCGCGGUCCAAGUCCCUUGGAACAGGACGUCAUAGAAGGGUGAGAACCCCGUACCUGGCCGCCGGUGCCCCCCCGCUGUGAAGCUCCUUCGACGAGUCGAGUUGUUUGGGAAUGCAGCUCUAAAUUGGUGGUAAAUUCCAUCUAAAGCUAAAUACCGGCCAGAGACCGAUAGCGCACAAGUAGAGUGAUCGAAAGAUGAAAAGCACUUUGAAAAGAGAGUUAAAAAGUACGUGAAAUUGUUGAAAGGGAAGCGCUUGCGGCCAGACUUGCCCGCGGUUGCUCAGCCCGCCCUCUGGCGGGUGCACUCUUCCGCGGUCAGGCCAGCAUCGGUUUGGGCGGUCGGACAAAGGCGUUGGGAACGUGACCUCCCCUCGGGGAGGUGUUAUAGCCCGGCGCGCAAUGCGACCAGCCUGGACCGAGGUUCGCGCUCUGCUAGGAUGCUGGCGUAAUGGCCGUAAGCGGCCCGUCUUGAAACACGGACCAAGGAGUCUAACAUCUAUGCGAGUGUUUGGGUGUCAAACCCGUGCGCGUAAUGAAAGUGAACGGAGGUGGGAACCUUUAGGGUGCACCAUCGACCGAUCCUGAUGUCUUCGGAAGGAUUUGAGUAAGAGCAUAGCUGUUGGGACCCGAAAGAUGGUGAACUAUGCGUGAAUAGGGUGAAGGCCAGAGGAAACUCUGGUGGAGGCUCGCAGCGGUUCUGACGUGCAAAUCGAUCGUCAAAUUUGCGUAUAGGGGCCGAAAGACUAAUCGAACCCAUUUAGUAGGCUGCUCGUGCCGAAGU
rnacentral:rRNA from 1 species